rnacentral:lncRNA from 1 species
AUGAUCCGAAAUAAAAUCGCUGCGCAGAAUUUGAUUGCUAAUUGGAUUCCAGCUGAUGUCCAUCAUUCAUCAGUACUGAGUGAAUGCUACAGAGAUCCAAGGUGUAUAAGACGGCAAAGAAAUAAUGUUGGAGGACUGACGGCUACGCGCUCACUCUGAAUUCUUCAAUAUUAGGAUUGAGAGGGAGGCCACUAAACAAGUGCUUAAACAAGAUCUUCAGGAGAAAUUGACAACUGCAGGUAUUUUACCUAGACAAUCUGGUGAUGAGGAUGA